rnacentral:tRNA from 1 species
GUGGGCGUAGCUCAGUUGGUUAGAGUGCCAGGUUGUGGCCCUGGAGGUCGUCGGUUCGAUUCCGAUCGCCCACCCCA